UACGGGGGGAGCAAGCGUUGUUCGGAUUUACUGGGCGUAAAGGGCUCGUAGGCGGCCAACUAAGUCGGACGUGAAAUCCCUCGGCUUAACCGAGGAACUGCGUCCGAUACUGGAUGGCUUGAGUUCGGGAGAGGGAUGCGGAAUUCCAGGUGUAGCGGUGAAAUGCGUAGAUAUCUGGAGGAACACCGGUGGCGAAGGCGGCAUCCUGGACCGACACUGACGCUGAGGAGCGAAAGCCAGGGGAGCAAACGGG
rnacentral:rRNA from 1 species